rnacentral:rRNA from 1 species
AUGGCGUGCGAGACCCAGUACACGUCGCGGCUGCCCGACGACGUCGUUCUGGAGAUACUUUCCUUCCUGCCGGCCAAGUCGAUCGGCCGCUUCCGCAGCCUGUCGCGUUCGUGGCAUGCCCAUCUCUCCUCGGCGUCCUUCGUCGAGUUCCACCGCCGGCGAGCCAACAAUCCAUGCCAGCCCAAGCUCUUCUUCAGCCCCACCUUCGACUACGGAGCAUCCGAUUCUGAAGACGACCACGAGGCAUCCGUUUCCAAAGACGACGACGACCAGGCAUCCGAUUCGAGAGACGGCGAGGAGGCAUCCAAGUCCCAAGACGACGGCGAGGCAUCCGAUUCCGAAGAUGAAGAGUGCUACUUCUAUUCCUGGCAGCCCGGUGGUGGUUCGGUCAAGAAGCUCAUGGAAAACAAUUUUUGGAGGCCAGCACCUCUCACCAAGCCUCUUCACGGCCUCGUCCUCGUCCGAUCCGUUUGCGUCGGCGGCCACAACAUCGGUGGCGGCUACGACGUCUGCAACCCUUCCACCGGCGAGUUCUUGUAUCUUCCUGACACCAGGCUGCCAUUGAAGACGAUCAUCCGGUAUUCCAACACUCAAGGACAUCCGCCGUGCUACUGGGACGUUGCGUACGGUUUUGGUUACUCCUCCGUAACUCACGAGUAUAAAGCGGUGCGUAUGUUCAGCUCUGGUUACUUCCCCGCCACCACCUGCUGCGAGGUUCUCGUCCUUGGCGUGCCGACGUGGUGGAGGCCAACGGCCCAACAGCCCCCGGAGUGCGUCGUGGAGGAGCACAACCCAGCCGUGUUCUUGAACGGCUACCUGCAUUUUCUCUGCAAAGAUGGUGGCAUCAUCACUUUCAGUGUCAACGACGAGACUUUCGGUUCGUUGUCACCGCCGCCGCCCUACCCAGGCUCUCACCCAGAGGGUAGUCCAGUCACCAGGAUGACAGAGCUGGACGGGUGCUUAUGCCUCUGCCGUGAGCAGACCAAUGGUGGAGGCCCCUACCAAGUGUGGUUGCUGAGAGACUAUGAGGCACAACAAUGGGAGCAACUUUGCACCUUCGACCGAAGACUUUGGCCGGAUCCCGAGCGACUGCAGCUGCAAACGAAGUGGAUAACUCCACUCACCAUGCACAGUGGGCGAAGCGGACAAAGAAAGAUUAUGUUCGGGACUGGUACUUGUAGGGUGUUCACCGUGGACCUCGACGACGCGCCCGAGGUGCUUCUUAUUCCGGACGAAGCCAUGUCCGGAAAUAUCUGUGAUAGCGAAGAUUACCCGGCAGUAGGCUUGUUCGAAGAGAGCCUCGUUCCCCUGGGUCGUAUAAUCGACGACAUGGAUUUCAGGUCACCGACGACUAAAGCUUGGUCCAACAUCCUCAAGUGGCUGCCGUCACAAUCAGUGUUGGAGCUAAGCCUCGUCUGCAGGGAGUGGCGCGCCAUUGCCACGAAUCUCGGGUUCCGCCAAUCCCAUGUCAUCCAUGCGAACUCGAUCAAAAGGCAUCAUCCUAUUAAGUUCGUCAUCGAGCCGUCAUUUGGUAUUUUCUGGGACAUGGAUGGCCAAGAUAAUUUCCCAUUUCCGCCAAACUUUACAGCUGGCCUGUUUCAGUGUUCUCAACCUUGCCACGGCCUCAACGUGGGCACCUGGAAUGGCUUGGACUUCUUGUGCAAUCCUGCCAUCCGCUACAACCAGCGCAUCGAACAUGACGAUGGAACCGACGAAAACAACCAAGAAAAUAAAUACUUUGCUGCCCGUAUCGCAUUGGGAUACGACUCUGACAUCGACGACCAUGUGCUGGUGUCUCUUGCCUACGAGGAGAAGAACAUGGACACUCGGCAAUACAAACUACGAUGCAAAGUGCGAUGUGUGUGUGGUGGCCAAUGGCAUGAGAUUGAGCCUCCGCCGAGGCCAGUGGCUAACUCAUCCCCCGCCUAUGCAGAUGGCAGGAUUUACUGGGUGGUGGAGCGAAAGCUUGGACCGAGCUCCACUGCAUCCUGCGAGCUCGUGGCAUUUAACACCAUAGAAAGGGAGUUCGAUGUCGUAGAAGGGCCAGUGUGCAGCUACGAUGGCGGCCGCAUAUCAGUCGUUGAGCUCCAUGGCAUAAUUCAUGUGGCCUGGUCGGAUCAAGACGCGGAUGCCAUUGACGUAUGGGUGAUGGAGCACAGCGGCGCUUGGCGCGUCGAGUACCGCAUAGAGCUCGCCAAGUUCUCACCAGAGUACUCAUCCGAGAGAACCAUGAUCAUGGCUAUUGACCCUACAGACGGACGGAUUUUGCUCAACACAGGAAGAUCAUUAGGAUACUACGAUCUCAAGACAGGGGAGCUGGAGACAAUCUACCGUGUUAUUGCUCAGUCAGCGCGUGAUGACGAGAGGUCCAUAUUCUGUGCGGUUGUCUACCAAGAAAGCCUAUUCCGCCCGUUUAUGAGGUAA